UAAUACGUAGGGUGCGAGCGUUGUCCGGAAUUACUGGGCGUAAAGAGCUCGUAGGUGGUUUGUCGCGUUGUCCGUGAAAACUCACAGCUUAACUGUGGGCGUGCGGGCGAUACGGGCAGACUGGAGUACUGCAGGGGAGACUGGAAUUCCUGGUGUAGCGGUGGAAUGCGCAGAUAUCAGGAGGAACACCGGUGGCGAAGGCGGGUCUCUGGGCAGUAACUGACGCUGAGGAGCGAAAGCGUGGGGAGCGAACAGGAUUAGAUACCCUGGUAGUCCACGCCGUAAACGGUGGGUACUAGGUGUGGGUUUCCUUCCUUGGGAUCCGUGCCGUAGCUAACGCAUUAAGUACCCCGCCUGGGGAGUACGGCCGCAAGGCUAAAACUCAAAUGAAUUGACGG
rnacentral:rRNA from 1 species